rnacentral:rRNA from 1 species
CUUGUCUCAAAGAUUAAGCCAUGCAAGUGUAAGUAUAAAUUAUUUUACUGAUGAAACUGCGAACGGCUCAUUAAAUCAGUUAUAGUUUAUUUGAUGGUAUUGAGAAUUUAUUCUCAACUACAUGGAUAACUGUAGUAACCUAGAGCUAAUACAUGCAUAAUAACUUGACUAUUUUUGGAAGAGUUAGCACUUAUUAGAUAUCAAACCAAUACACUUUUGUGUUUUAAAGGUGAAUCAUAGUAACUGAACAGAUCGCAUGGUCUUGUACCGGCGACGUUUCAUUCAAAUUUCUGCCCUAUCAACUAGAUGUUAGUAUAUAGGACUAACAUGGUUUUAACGGGUGACGGGGAAUUGGGGUUCGAUUCCGGAGAAGGAGCAUGAGAAACGGCUACUACUUCUAAGGAAAGCAGCAGGCGCGCAAAUUAUUCAAUGGAAACAAAUUUCCGAAAUAGUGACAAAAAAUAACAAUGUAUUGCACAAAGUGUGAUACAAUUGGAAUGGGUACAAUAUAAAAACCUUAACGAGUAACAAUUGGAGGGCAAGUCUGGUGCCAGCAGCCGCGGUAAUUCCAGCUCCAAUAGCGUAUAUUAAUGUUGUUGCAGUUAAAAAGCUCGUAGUUGAAUUUUGAGUAAUUUGUAAGUUUGGUUUACUUUUAAGUAUAACUACUUACUAUUAUUCUUCCUACUAGAUACUCGAUUCUGUUCUUAAUUGAAUGGAAUAGCAGUUCUUUUUUGGAUUGUCAAUAUAUUUUAUUAGCUCCUCCAUAUAGUGGAGAUGUGUAAAAACAUUAUAAAUUAUAUGAGUGGAUCAAGUUAAUUUUAUAUAUUGGAGUUCUAGUUCAUUUACUUUGAGAAAAUUAGAGUGUUUAAAGCAGCCUCUUUGGGCUCUGAAUAUAUUAGCAUGGGAUAAUAAAAUAGGAUUUAAAACAAUAUAUUUGUUGGUUUGAAUGGAUUUAAAUAAUGAUUAAUAGGGACAGUUGGGGGUAUUUAUAUUGGAUGGUUAGCGGUGAAAUGCAUGGAUCCAUUCAAGAUAAACUAAAGCGAAAGCAUUUACCAAGGAUGUUUUCAUUAAUCAAGAACGAAAGUUAAGGGAUCGAAGAUGAUCAGAUACCGUCGUAGUCUUAACUAUAAACUAUGCCGACCAGGGAUAUGAGUUGUUAUGAAUGAAUUUUAUUUAUUCAAUUUCCUCUUGUGGACCUUGUGAGAAAUCAUAAGUUUUUGGGUUCUGGGGGGAGUAUGGUCGCAAGGCUGAAACUUAAAGGAAUUGACGGAGGGGCACCACCAGGAGUGGAGCGUGCGGCUUAAUUUGACUCAACACGGGAAAACUUACCAGGUCCAGACGUUAGAAGGAUUGACAGAUUGAUAGCUCUUUCAUGAUUUAAUGGGUGGUGGUGCAUGGCCGUUCUUAGUUGGUGGAGUGAUUUGUCUGGUUAAUUCCGAUAACGAACGAGACCUUUACCAUACUAAAUAGUUUGAUUUAUUCAUUUAUGAAUAGAUUUACAUUUUAUAAACUUCUUAGAGGGACUAUUGGUUCUUAAACCAAAGGAAGUAAAGGCGAUAACAGGUCUGUGAUGCC